CUAAAUUAUAUAACAAUGCCUUUGAGAAAAUCAUGAUCGAGUGCUGUUGAGAAAGCCUUGUCUCCUGAAGAACAGCAAGCAAAGAUAAAUGAAGUUCGAAGGAUGAUUGGUCCAUGGUCGGAAGCACUGCCAGACUUCUGUUCAGAUGCUUCAAUAUCAAGGUACCUCCGGUCAAGAAACUGGAAUGCAGAAAAGGCAAGUAAAAGGCUGAAAGAGACUGUGAAAUGGAGAUUGAAAUACAAGCCAGAAGCCAUUCGCUGGGAAGAUGUUGCCCAUGAAGCUGCUACUGGAAAGAUUUACCGGGCUGAUUACUUUGACAAAUAUGGAAGAUCUGUUCUUGUUAUGAGGCCUA